AAAUCACCACUUACAUCUACAUAUAUAUAUAUAUGCUACCUCUGGGUGAAAUUAUUCAUAAACAUGGUAUUAGCUUCCACUGUUAUGCUGUCGACACACAGUUGUAUGUUUCAGCAAAGCCAGAUGACAGACACCAGCAUAGUUGAGGAAUGUGUAAAGGACAUUAGACACUGGAUGCUUAGUAACUUCCUUCUUCUUAAUUCUGACAGAACAGAUGUACUUGUACUAGGACCACAUACAGCUAGACGUAAGCUUUCUGAUUACAUAGUAACUCUGGAUGGCCUUUCUGUUUCAUCAUGUGCAACAGUAAAAGACCUUGGUGUGCUUAUUGACCCCAGUCUUUCAUUUGUAGCUCAUGUAGAUAAUAUUACUAGGAUAGUUUUCUUUCAUCUUAGAAAUAUUGCUAAUAUAUGAAAUAUAAUGUCACUACGCAAGGCAGAACACCUAGUUCAUGCUUUUGUUACCUCUAGAUUGGAUUAUUGAAAUGCCUUACUGCCUGGAUGUUCCAGUAGGUGCAUAAACAAGCUCCAGUUAGUCCAGAAUGCAGCAGCUAGAGUUCUUACUAGAACCAGAAGAUAUGAUAGAUAAGAUUGAUUUUAAUGGUCAGCCAUGCCUACUUCACUCAAAGGGUUCAGGCUACUUGUUGGACUCUGCACAGAAUGUACAUUGUCCUUAACCAUUACAUGACAACUAGCAUACCUAAUAACCUCUCUCCCUCUCUCUUUCUUUCUCUCUGUCGAGCUACACAUGCUGCUUCUGAGAUACCAGUGAUCCUGACCCCUUCUGCUCCCCGGACCUGCCUGAUCCAUCCUGAUGCCCUACUUCUGGUUGAAGUUCUCAUUGGUUGGAAACCACUUGCAGAUGCUGAGGAUGGCCCCACACAGACAGCCUAAAGAUACAUGAGAUUACUAUGGAUGGUACCACUUGUACCAUUAGAAACCAUGAAGAUGGCUUUGGACUUCAAUUGACAUGAACAGUUUUGCUACAAUGGCUUAGGGCUACAAUUGCUAUGAUAGCUUUAGGACUGCAAUUGAGUGCAACAGUUUUACACUCAAGUCUCCAUCAGUGAACAGUUGAUAACUUCAACAAAACAGACUUCAUGAAAACUAUAAUGAAUUUUCGUGUUUACACAAUUGCACUUUUUGACUGUAUAGCGUACAGUUAUAGAAGGGAAUUAUUUAUAAUUGCUCUAUCCAUUACCACCCAGAUGGGGAUGGGUUCCCUUUUGAGUCUGGUUCCUCUCAAGGUUCUUCCUCAUAUCGUCUCAGGGACUUUUUCCUUGCCAUCGUCACCCCUGACUUGCUCUUUAGGGAUAAAUUCAUAUGUUUAAAAUUUAUAUCCUGGAUUUAUAUAUUUCUGUAAAGCUGCUUUGUGACAGUGUGAACAACAAUUGUGAACAACCAAUAAUUCAUUUAGUAGUUGCGGUAGUGCAUAAGAAAUACUUUGUUAAGAUGCUGUUAUGCAUAUUAUUGAGUGUUAAUUAGUCAAUAAUACUUCAACAUAUGUUCCAUAUUCUAAAGUAGUAUUUUAAUCAUCACUACUUAGAGUAUAUAAGGCUCUUCACAAGCUUUCAUCACAAGGUCAACACUUAUGAAUUGUAUUUUGGCACUAAUAUUUCAGUGUGUGGUCCUUAAUGAUUUUUUAAUUUUUUUACUGAAGACAUCACUGAAGACGUGCUGAUGAAGGCUCACUGCACAAACACUUCUUCUUAGUACUGCUCCUGUGUUUCUGGGGCUUUCACUACACCUGCAAUGGCAGUAUUUUACAGUUAGUGUCUACAAGAGCUCCCAAAGAUGUACAUCAAAAGACAACAAUAAACGUUGAUCUUCUAGCUAGCUGGAGAAAAGCUUCAAACUCUAGGCUUCAUCAUGCUCAGUGAAGAAAUCUGACAGGAUCCAUUUGCAAACAAAGCAUCUACUGGAAGAAAGUCAUCAGCAAUUAUGCUGAUCUGUAAAACUCCCAGCAGCAUGAUUAUUUUCCUUCCUCCACUAUCCCACCAUGCUUGUAGAAAAACCAAGCAAGUCUGAAAUGCUCAGGGCACAAGGUGGGGGACACCCUGGACCGGGUGCCAACCCAUCACAGGGCACAAUCUCAUGCACAUUCACACCCUACGGGAAAUCUUGAAAUGCCAAUCAGCCUACAGCGCAUGUCUUUGGACUGGGGGAGGAAACCAGAGGAGUACCCAGAGGAAGCCCCUGAAGCAUGCAUUCAUAGUGGCGCCCCCCGGGCUGUGGUUGAUUGAUUGCCAGGAUUGGCAUGCUGCAGCUGGAUGAGUCAUCUAGGCUUCUCUGUAUUCCACAUAUGUGACAGAGGAGAGAGAGAGAGAGAGAGAGAGAGAGAGAGACUGCAUCCUGCAGAAACCAGGCAUGGAAAAGCUUCUACGCUGCUAAGAAUAGCGCUCCGGGAUUGAGAAAUGGUUUGACAUGCUGCUAUAGUUGUGUAAUGUGGAAUAAAAGUGGUGUGAGGAAAAAUACCUAUUUAUAAGCUUUCUUGUGAGGCGUUAUGGUUUGUAUCAUGAUUCUUGUUUCUGAUUAGUUAGAAGGUGUUGAUUAAUUUUCUAUAGAAGCAUCUCUGACAGAUUUCACAAAUUUAUAUUAAUACGCUUGUUCUAAUAUGUUAAUUUUUCCUUGUGAAUGAUGGCAGACGGUCCACUUAAAUGGAUUAGAAAUCAUGUAUAAUCGCUGACGUGGUGGAGGUUACUGUAAGGAGACGUUUAGGUAACAUUUACGGAAGGAGUCUCCAGUGUCAGUGCUUUGUAGCUUUGUUAAGCUGUAUGUUUUCCACCACUGGAAAGUCUUCAGGACAGUUUACGCUUUGUGGUUUCUCUGUAAUAUGACAAGCUGCGUUUUUUUUUUUAACUUCAACACUCGUUCAAGAGCAAAUGACUGUUUAUAAUGAUUAUGAUGUAAGUGGAAAACAGGACCCGACUUUAAAUGUAACUGUAAAUGGAAGUAAAGUAUGAUCUGUUGUUAUUUAAUAAGUAAUAAAUUAUAAUUAUUGACACAUUGCUGUUGUAUAAAAGGAAUAAAACACUUUGUGAUGUGCUGUUAUGGAAAAAUAAUCCAUUUUGGUGUGGUAGAACUUUGAUCUGUAGGUUCUACAGGGUUAUAAAAAGAACAUCAUCUAUUAAGCCAAGGUUUUGAUCUGUAUGUGGACUCUGACAUGUAAAUUAUUUAGCACUAACAGUAGCAAAACUGGUCAGUUUACAUGUAAUUUACAUGAUUCAAAUCCACACGUGUACAUGAUUCAAAUCCACAUCUAAAGUGACCUUCAACUGUGAUAACACUGCAGCUGUUUCUUCUUAAGCAGAUUACAGUAUCAACCUCAAUUUAGACACAUUUAUGCAUCAGAAUCACUAAAUAUUAUGGCGAUAAGGCAGGUAGCACACCGGCGACUUGGCACUUAAUCCCCUCCGCAGCCUUAUCUCACCUUGGUUUAGAUUAUCUUGAUACCGUUAUAAUCCGUGGAGCAAUAGGGAAGGCAUUUAUAAUUCCUCAUUUUUUAUAUCCGUGCCUACCUACUGAGGGAUUUGUUCUGUUUUGCUGUUAUUGAGGUUCUAAAUAUAGACCAAAAAGGAAUGAGGACUUGUGCAUCAUAUAAAGGAAGCAUUUUGGUGGAAUUCACUUUUCAAUUUCAUUUAUCAUUUAUAGUGAAUUUGGAACUGUGGUAGAAAAAUCAUAACUCAUGAAUGCUUAUAAAAGUGAGAUAUAGUGAAUUUGUGUCUUUAGAUCAUGGGAGUGCAUAAUUUAACUAGAACUAGAAUUACUUUUCCAUAUCAUUUAUUUUCAACUCAUAGUGGUGUAAAAUGUCCACUGAGACUAAUCAUAACUUUGUAUGAAUUAUGGAGAUGUAACUAGAAUGUGACGCUAUCUGUGUCUGUUUAGCGCUCCACAUAUCCCUAUCUGUAUUUGGAUUUAAAG